UACGUAGGGGCCAAGCGUUGUCCGGAUUUAUUGGGCGUAAAGAGCUCGUAGGCGGUUGGGUAAGUCGGGUGUGAAAACUCCAGGCUCAACUUGGAGAUGCCACCCGAUACUGCUCUGACUUGAGUUCGGUGGGGGAGUGGGGAAUUCCUGGUGUAGCGGUGAAAUGCGCAGAUAUCAGGAGGAACACCGGUGGCGAAGGCGCCACUCUGGGCCGAAACUGACGCUGAGGAGCGAAAGCGUGGGUAGCAAACAGG
rnacentral:rRNA from 1 species